AGCGAACGUUAGCGGCGCGCCUAACACAUGCAAGUCGCACGAGAAAGGGAGCAAUCCCCGGUACAGUGGCGCACGGGUGAGUAACACGUAGAUGACCUUCCCUGGAGUGGUGGAUAACCUGCCGAAAGGCGGGCUAAUACAGCAUGGGACCACAUGGUUUUGACCGAGUGGUGAAAGCGGGCCUCUGUUCACAAGCUCGCGCUCUGGGAUGGGUCUGCGUCCCAUCAGCUAGUUGGUGAGGUAAUGGCUCACCAAGGCAUCGACGGGUAGCUGGUCUGAGAGGAUGACCAGCCACACUGGAACUGAGACACGGUCCAGACUCCUACGGGAGGCAGCAGUGGGGAAUCUUGCGCAAUGGGCGAAAGCCUGACGCAGCGACGCCGCGUGGGUGAUGAAGGCCUCGGUUGUAAGCCUGUGGGAGGAACGGAACCGUACGGGGCGGAACGACCCUCCGUACCUGACGGUACCGUCCUUACGCAAGCAUCGG
rnacentral:rRNA from 1 species